CAGCAGGGGUACUAUUGUUCCGGGGCGUGAGGCAGGGGGCCAGGGACAGGGAAGAGACCUGUGCGUCCAAGCCCGCCGGGCCUCGGACCGUCUGCUCUUCAGGUGUGCAAGAAAUGCAAGACUGCCGUCUCAGUACAGCCCCUUCAGCGUUGUACUAUUGCAUGUAAUGAAGCUGCAGAGGUACAGCCACCAUGGCCUGGGCUGCUAAGUCUACUCUGAGGGCUUCCUGAAGACUCAGAGAAACAGAAGCCUGCAUCCCUGCAGCUCCUGCAUCAGUCUCUGUGAGCUCUACAGAAGGGAAUCCCUCAACUCUUUCAAAAGCCUAAUUCUGCUAUAGCUGGGAAGAUCCUCAAAAAGGCUUAAUAGCAAUAUCAGAUUAAGUUCUUCGAUUCUUUUACUAGUGAAAUUAGAGAAAUACACCGCUUAUAUUAGUUAAUACCUAUAGCUACACUGGAAAGGGGUUAACUACUCAGUUAAGCUAGAAAAUCAACACAUACAUUUGCUGGCCUCUGCUUUGUUCUGUGUAACUUUGAUCAAAAGCCUUGUCAUCCUGUUUUGGUGCCUUGGUUUUAAGUUUCAAUUUCAUACAUCUUUAAAGAUUUAAAAAAUGUUUCAUCUCUAUCAUGAAAUAUUAUACAGUGGCUAUAAAAAGAGCUUAUUCUAUCUACAUCUAUAUACCUAUUUAUCUAUCUAUAAUCUAUCUCAAGGUAGAAAUAUCUCCCAGACAGAUUAAGAGAAGCAAGUUAAUGAGAAACAUGCCUAAGGCACAUUAUUAAAGGAAACAACCAGAUAAAAAUAUUGUUAAGGAAAGCAAGUCAUAAAAUAUAUAUAAAACGAUUUA